rnacentral:rRNA from 1 species
GACGAACGCUGGCGGCGUGCUUAACACAUGCAAGUCGAACGGAAAGGCCCUGCUUUUGUGGGGUGCUCGAGUGGCGAACGGGUGAGUAACACGUGAGUAACCUGCCCUUGACUUUGGGAUAACUUCAGGAAACUGGGGCUAAUACCGGAUAGGAGCUCCUGCUGCAUGGUGGGGGUUGGAAAGUUUCGGCGGUUGGGGAUGGACUCGCGGCUUAUCAGCUUGUUGGUGGGGUAGUGGCUUACCAAGGCUUUGGCGGGUAGCCGGCCUGAGAGGGUGACCGGCCACAAUGGGACUGAGAUGCGGCCCAGACUCCUACGGGAGGCAGCAGUGGGGAAUAUUGCACCAUGGGCGGAAGCCUGAUGCAGCAACGCCGCGUGCGGGAUGACGGCCUUCGGGUUGUAAACCGCUUUCGCCUGUGACGAAGCGUGAGUGACGGUAAUGGGUAAAGAAGCACCGGCUAACUACGUG